rnacentral:rRNA from 1 species
AAUGAACGCUGGCGGCAUGCCCUAACACAUGCAAGUCGAACGAGAUCUUCGGAUCUAGUGGCGCACGGGUGAGUAACGCGUGGGAAACUGCCCUUCUGUGCGGGACAACAUCUGGAAACGGAUGCUAAUACCGCAUACGCCCUUCGGGGGAAAGGUCCGCCGGAGAAAGAGGGGCCCGCGUCUGAUUAGCUUGUUGGUAGGGUAAUGGCCUACCAAGGCGACGAUCGGUAGCUGGUCUGAGAGGAUGAUCAGCCACACUGGGACUGAGACACGGCCCAGACUCCUACGGGAGGCAGCAGUGGGGAAUAUUGGACAAUGGGGGCAACCCUGAUCCAGCAAUGCCGCGUGUGUGAUGAAGGCCUUAGGGUUGUAAAGCACUUUCACUGGUGAAGAUGAUGACGGUAACCAGAGAAGAAGCCCCGGCUAACUUCGUG